GACGAACCGUGCGAGCGUUAUCCGGAUUUACUGGGCGUAAAGAGCGCGCAGGCGGUGCGAUCAGUCGAAUGUGAAAGCCCCCGGCUCAACUGGGGAGGGUCAUUCGAUACUGUCGGACUCGAAGGCAGGAGAGGGAAGCGGAAUUCCCGGUGUAGUGGUGAAAUGCGUAGAUAUCGGGAGGAGCACCAGUGGCGAAGGCGGCUUCCUGGCCUGUUCUUGACGCUGAGGCGCGAAAGCUAGGGGAGCAAACGGG
rnacentral:rRNA from 1 species